rnacentral:rRNA from 1 species
AUAACCGCUGGAAACGGCGGCUAAUACCGCAUACGCCUUUCGAGGGAAAGCUUUUGCGCCCUGAGAUGAGCCCGCGUCGGAUUAGCUUGUUGGUGGGGUAAAAGCCCACCAAGGCAACGAUCCGUAGCUGGUCUGAGAGGAUGAUCAGCCACACUGGGACUGAGAUACGGCCCAGACUCCUACGGGAGGCAGCAGUGGGGAAUAUUGGACAAUGGGGGCAACCCUGAUCCAGCCAUGCCGCGUGCGUGAAGAAGGCCUUAGGGUUGUAAAGCGCUUUCGGCGGGGAAGAUGAUGACGGUACCCGCAGAAGAAGCCCCGGCUAACUCCGUGCCAGCAGCCGCGGUAAUACGGAGGGGGCAAGCGUUGUUCGGAAUUACUGGGCGUAAAGGGCGCGUAGGCGGACCAUCAUGUCAGGGGUGAAAGCCCUGGGCUCAACCUGGGAACUGCCCUUGAAACUGAUGGUCUAGAGUCCGAGAGAGGAUGGCGGAAUUCCCAGUGUAGAGGUGAAAUUCGUAGAUAUUGGGAAGAACACCAGUGGCGAAGGCGGCCAUCUGGCUCGGUUCUGACGCUGAGGCGCGAAAGCGUGGGGAGCAAACAGGAUUAGAUACCCUGGUAGUCCACGCCGUAAACGAUGUGUGCUAGCCGUUG